rnacentral:rRNA from 1 species
GACGAACGCUGGCGGCGUGCUUAACACAUGCAAGUCGAGCGGAAAGGCCCUUCGAGGUACUCGAGCGGCAAACGGGUGAGUAACACGUGAGUAGCCUGCCCCAGACUUUGGGAUAACCCUCGGAAACGGGGGCUAAUACCGGAUACGACACAGCUUCGCAUGGGGUCUGUGUGGAAAGUUUUUCGGUUUGGGAUGGGCUCGCGGCCUAUCAGCUUGUUGGUGGGGUGAUGGCCUACCAAGGCGACGACGGGUAGCCGGCCUGAGAGGGCGACCGGCCACACUGGGACUGAGACACGGCCCAGACUCCUACGGGAGGCAGCAGUGGGGAAUAUUGCACAAUGGGCGGAAGCCUGAUGCAGCGACGCCGCGUGAGGGAUGACGGCCUUCGGGUUGUAAACCUCUUUCAGCAGGGACGAAGCGUAAGUGACGGUACCUGCAGAAGAAGCGCCGGCCAACUACGUG